rnacentral:rRNA from 1 species
UCAUUACAACAGAUAUAAUCUACUUGUUCUGUGACUUAAAUGGAUAACUGCGGUAAUUCUGGAGCCAAUACAUGCGUGAAGCUGCGGCCUUCGGGUCGCAGUGCUAUUAUUGGAGCAAAACUAUUCGUUAGUCCUUUUGCUAACUCUGGAUAAUACUGCGUAUCGCACGAUCUUGUGUCGGCGAAGUUUCAUUCGAGUAUCUGCCCUAUCAACUGGUUGGCAGUGUAUUGGACUGCCAUGGUUCUAACGGGUAACGGAGAAUCAGGGUUUGACUCCGGAGAAUCCGCCUUAAAAACGGCGAAUAUGUCUAAGGAUAGCAGCAGGCGCGAAAAUUACCCAAUAUCAAUACGAUGAGGUAGUGACGAGAAAUAACGAGUCCGUUCUCUCUGAGGUCGGACAUUGGAAUGGGUACAAUGUAGACAAUUUAACGAGUAUCUACGAGAGGGCAAGUCUGGUGCCAGCAGCCGCGGUAAUUCCAGCUCUCGUAAUACAUAGAAUUAUUGUUGCGGUUAAAAAGUUCAUAGUUGGAUUGUCGAACCGUGCGGGGUGCGUCCUAGCGGGCGUCACUCGCGUGCGGUAUUUUGCGCGUUUUCGGGCCUUCGGGUCGGUGAUGCGCAGGAUUACUUUGAACGGCUUAAGUGCUCAAGGCGGGUCUUACGACUGAAUACCGGUGCAUGGAAUAAUGGAACAAGGUUGCGGCCGAGUUUUAUUGGUUUUGUCGGCUGAAACAAUGGUUAACAGGAACAGCCGGGGGCAUUCGUAUCGCUGCGCGAGAGGUGAAAUUCGAGGACCGUAGCGAGACGCACUAAAGCGAAGGCAUUUGCCAAGAGUGUUUUCAUUAAUCAAGAACGAAAGUCAGAGGUUCGAAGGCGAUUAGAUACCGCCCUAGUUCUGACCGUAAAUGAUGCCAACUACCAAUUCGCUUGUGGAUUCGAGUUCAUAAGCGAGCGGGUUUCCGGAAACGAAAGUCUUUCGGUUCCGGGGGAAGUAUGGUUGCAAAGCUGAAACUUAAAGGAAUUGACGGAAGGGCCCCCCCAGGAGUGGAGCUUGCGGGCUUAUUUUACUCCACACGGGAAACCUCCCCCGGCCGCAAAUCUUAAGGAUUGAAAAACCAUAGCCCUUUUUUGAUUCGGGGGAGGGGGGGGGGGGGCCCUUUUUUUUUUGGUUAAAAAAAAGUUUUCUUUUUUUUUAAAAAAAAAGAAAAACCCCCCGCAAAAAAA